rnacentral:rRNA from 1 species
GAUGAACGCUAGCGGCAGGCCUAACACAUGCAAGUCGAGGGGGAGGUUACUUUCGGGUAACUGAGACCGGCGUACGGGUGCGUAACGCGUAUACAAUCUGCCUUUCACUGGGGGAUAGCCCGAAGAAAUUUGGAUUAAUACCCCAUAGUAUAGUAAUACGGCAUCGUGAUGCUAUUAAAGCUUAGGUGGUGAAAGAUGAGUAUGCGUUCUAUUAGCUAGUUGGAGAGGUAACGGCUCCCCAAGGCGAUGAUAGAUAGGGGUUCUGAGAGGGAUGUCCCCCACACUGGUACUGAGAUACGGACCAGACUCCUACGGGAGGCAGCAGUGAGGAAUAUUGGACAAUGGUCGGAAGACUGAUCCAGCCAUGCCGCGUGCAGGAUGAAGGUCUUAUGGAUUGUAAACUGCUUUUGUAAGGGAAGAAUAAGGGCUACGCGUAGUUUGAUGACGGUACCUUACGAAUAAGCAGCGGCUAACUCCGUG